UACAGAGGGGGCAAGCGUUAUUCGGAAUUAUUGGGCGUAAAGGGCGCGUAGGCGGCCUGGCAAGUGGAAGGUGAAAUCCCUCGGCUUAACCGAGGAACUGCCCUCCAAACUGCUUGGCUUGAGUCCGGGAGAGGUGAGUGGAAUUCCCAGUGUAGCGGUGAAAUGCGUAGAUAUUGGGAGGAACACCAGUGGCGAAGGCGUUCUGCUAGACCUGUACUGACACUGAGGGACGAAAGCUAGGGGAGCGAAUGGG
rnacentral:rRNA from 1 species